rnacentral:misc_RNA from 1 species
GAAAAGAAUCAGAUAUUUAUCCAUUAAUUUAAUUGGAGAAUUCUGUACAAAUUGUCCAAGCUUUACAGAACUGGAAAAUGACCUACAGUUUUAACAUUUGAUUGUAGGUGGUCAUUAAACAAGGUUUGGUAGAUGAUUCUUCAAGGUUCUGAACACCGCCAGGUGGCUUUACAAAGCAACCUGAAGACGCCAUUUGAGUACUCUCUGCCACCUCUUCCUUUUUCCCGUGUGUACUGUACUUGGAGAGGCCCGCCAGAAAAUUUUUGAGAGCUUCUCUCAUCCAGUCAUAACGGCAGAAUUUAAAUGCUUCCUCUGUAGUAAGCCAUUUUCUAUUGUAAUUAGCCUGUCCUGGCCAGUGGUCAA